UCGACGGCAGCACGGGAGCAAUCCUGGUGGCGAGUGGCGAACGGGUGAGUAAUGUAUCGGAACGUACCUUUCAGUGGGGGAUAACGUAGCGAAAGUUACGCUAAUACCGCAUAUUCUGUGAGCAGGAAAGCAGGGGAUCGCAAGACCUUGCGCUGAUUGAGCGGCCGAUAUCAGAUUAGCUAGUUGGUGAGGUAAAGGCUCACCAAGGCGACGAUCUGUAGCGGGUCUGAGAGGAUGAUCCGCCACACUGGAACUGAGACACGGUCCAGACUCCUACGGGAGGCAGCAGUGGGGAAUUUUGGACAAUGGGGGCAACCCUGAUCCAGCCAUGCCGCGUGAGUGAAGAAGGCCUUCGGGUUGUAAAGCUCUUUCAGCCGGGAAGAAAUCACAUGGGUUAAUACCCUGUGUGGAUGACGGUACCGGAAUAAGAAGCACCGGCUAACUACGUGCCAGCAGCCGCGGUAAUACGUAGGGUGCGAGCGUUAAUCGGAAUUACUGGGCGUAAAGCGUGCGCAGGCGGUUUGUUAAGAUAGGCGUGAAAUCCCCGGGCUCAACCUGGGAACUGCGUUUAUGACUGGCAGGCUAGAGUAUGGCAGAGGGGGGUGGAAUUCCACGUGUAGCAGUGAAAUGCGUAGAGAUGUGGAGGAACACCGAUGGCGAAGGCAGCCCCCUGGGCCAAUACUGACGCUCAUGCACGAAAGCGUGGGUAGCAAACAGGAUUAGAUACCCUGGUAGUCCACGCCCUAAACGAUGUCAACUAG
rnacentral:rRNA from 1 species